CUUUCUUUUGAUAACCAUAUUGUGCCUUUUGGUUUUGGCUGGCGUUUUAAUAAUAACACAAUUUGCUUAUUUCACGGAUCUUGCUAAUAAGAACUAAGAAAUUUCUACCAAAAAAAAAAACUAUGCACUUUAUUGUUUGAAUGUUGAAAUCCAGCAACCAUAGAUAUGCCAGACUAAGAACUUUUGUAAAUUCAAAAUUUCCCAACUUCUCUCACUCUCUCCCAACUGCUGUUGCCAUGGACUUUAAGUCUCUGGGUAUUUUUACCAUUUCAAAAGACAUUUCCUUUUUUUCGUUUUUUUUUACCAUUCCAUUCCUUCAUUAUUUACAAUUAUUACACGGUAGUGAAAAUCUUACUUAUUAUCCUUGAGCCAAAACGGAAAAAGGACUAGCCAGCAAUGGCUAGAGAAGCUUUAAAUGCAACCGACCACAAACAUAAAGGAAACUACAACAAAUUACUAAAUGAACAACAACAACGACAGCAACGAAAACGACAGCAGCAACAAAUAAAAUACCUAAAGGAUCCAGACGAUGAAAGGAGCAAAUCUCACGGAUUUUCCACCCCACUGUGCGCCACACUUCAAAUGGUUUGAGAAGGCGAAGAGAUGUGGUUGAAAAUAUACGGUGAGGACAUAAUAACAUCUAUGCAUUAGUAGUUGUUAUGCUUAGCACACAAACACACUCGCACACAAAAACGCCAUGCACACACAAACACACAUAUACAUACAAAAUUCACAUUCAUACAUACACACUCAGUUUUACAAAACUUAUAUGUAAAUGAUUUCAAUAUAGUUAUACUUUUUGUUGUUUUGCUUUUUUCUUUUGCGGAUUCUUUGA
rnacentral:sRNA from 1 species